GGAACUGGCAAACCCAAGGAAGAGAUUGCCAAAGAUGUCCAACGACCCAGAUACUUCCAAGCACAAGAAGCUAUUGACUACGGCAUUGCAGACAAAAUAAUCGACUCUCAAGAUACUGCAUUUGAAAAAAGGAAUUACGACGAGAUGCUUGCGCAGUCGAGAGCUAUGAGGAGAGGACCAGGAGGCAAUCCACAAGCGGCACCGUCUGGGUUCAGGUAAACAAAGAUAGAUAAUGUAGAAGUGUACAAAUAGAAGGUCCCAUAUCCCCACUCUUAGCUAGCUACAACCUCAGAUAAGCUUUAUAAUUAUUUAUGUCUUUUAUUUUUGGGGUUUGGGGGUUCUGGUUUACUUCUGAAGCACUUCAUAACUGAACACCACCAAUAUGAUCUUUGUAGGCCAUUGUAUAAAAGACUCUCUCUCAUUAAGGCAUGAUGAAUAUAUGUGAUGUUUUC
rnacentral:misc_RNA from 1 species